rnacentral:lncRNA from 1 species
AACUGAUUCUUGUGUGUUUAUUAAGGAUGCAUACUUAAUUUUCAUGCAUGAAUUAGAUGCUAGAAUAUAACUGAGUUUCACUUAAUCGUUACAAGUUUAUAUUCAUGAGUAGUGAAGGUUGUCUAUCACAAUCGCGUUAAUUGAAUUCUUGGCAAUUGUAUCAUGCAUUCAUAGUUAUAAUUGCCUCGUCAACACUUAUGAUUUUCAUUGAACGUAAUGUUCUCUGAUUAUAUCUCUAUUAUGCAUUCAUAUAGGGGACUUUUAGAGAAUGAUUUGGGUUGUGGCAUGCAUUCAUCCAAUUCAAUGAGUAAAGGAAAAUCUGAGGGUUAAUUUGUGCAUCACGGUUAAUUUGGGGUGUUGAGUAUCAUAGUUUAUUGAAAAGCAAUUUGAAAUCGAUUCAUGUACAAGUGUGUCAUGUGUGAAGAACGGACCUCUAA